AACCAUCACCAUCUCUUCUUCUCCUCAUUGUCAAUCUUUGGUCUUAGCCCAAAGGAGUAACGGGCGCUUAUCGCCAUGAGGGCCACCGCCUACCAACCUCUCAUCACCGCUCCGGCCAACUUGAGGCACGGGAGGAGGCCGGCGUCCUCUCGAUGGCUCCCCUCGGUAUCCCCCAGGAGGAGGGCCGCGGUCGUCAGAGCGGCCGUCGCCGUGGAGGAGGAGGCUAAGACCAAGGUCUCCCUCGUCAGGAUUGGCACCAGAGGGAGGUAGGCUUCGUUGCUUGGUUUCUAUUUCAACAGAUCUUAAUUCGUAUAAAUUUUGUGUUUUUGUUUGAUACAAGUGCUUGGCUGAGCUAAAUAUGGGGAAUUUCCAGAUAAACGUUGGAUUUUUAGCUUCUUUUAUAUGGAUUUUUGCUUCUGUUGGACUCCAGUGAGGUUUUCCAUGUCAUAAAUUGGAUUUUUUUCCCUUCUGGUUUACUUGGAUCUUGGGUUUUUGUUGUCUAGUGAGGUUUUCUUUUUAAUGGGUUGGAUUUUACCUUUUUUGUAGUCUAGUGAGGUGGCUGGUGUUACAGAUUUAAUGGGUUGUCAUCAUCAUUAUUUUCAUUUAGUUUUAUUUUUACUGUUAAGUAUUUUCUUGAAGGUUCCUUUAGUUGGGAUUUUUCUUUUAAAAAUACCUUUUUGAGGCUUGCACUCGGUUUGGCAUCUUUUUGUGCGUCAAGGUUGGCAGUCUUAGUAGAGUUUUAGUUUCAUAUUUGUUCAUUUCUGUAGGCAUCUUUUAUGUUUGAGUGACAAAAUGGGGCUGUGGAGUUGUCUUGAGCUUUAGUUCUAGAAGUUGUGAGGCUUUAGAUCUAAGUCUAAUUUGAAUUACUUAAGAAAUCAGUGGGGUAUUUUAGGGCUUUAAAGAGUGAGAAAUUGUUGGACUUUAGAGAGUAGUUAGGAUGGAUGAAGUGUUAAAGUUUUAAUUAAUAAUCAUCUCUUGCAUGGUAUUAUUACUUGGACCUUGGAGAAUUUGGCAUGGCUUUGUGGAAUUGGGGACUCAUCUUCCUAGACUUCUUAUUGUACUUAUGAGAGGAGGGUAACUUAUAAGAGAUGUUAUGAGGUGGUAAAAAACAGAAUGACCUGUUUCCCAACUCUCAAGAAAAAAAAUGAGGGGAUCUAGAGUUUGAGGAAAUGCUAUGUUUCAUAACAACAAAUUUUUCUUGAGAUAGAGGAUGAAAGAGAUGGCAGCUGAAAGAGGACUUUUAAAUUAAAACCCUCUGUACCAACAGGAUUUAUAGGACUCUUUAUGGUGUACAGAAUUUAUAUUAAAGCUAAAAACCUUUUGGUGAACUUUAUUGUUAUAAAAGAUUUAGAAUUAGAUAAAGGAUAAAAACUAUGUAAUGUGUGAUAGAGAAGAUAAGACUAUCAGUAUCCAAUCUUUAAUCUAAAAGGAACUUCUGAAUGUGGCAGUAAAAUGGAGGACUUUUUUAGCAAUUCUUGCAUAAGAGCUCCAACACCUGUUUGUAGAUUUGAGUAGAUCAAUCUGAACUAAGACUAGAAGUGGUGGGCUUUGUAUGGAAGUUCUUUUUGGUGCUUGAUUUGGGUGAAGGAAUGUGCUAGCAACUACGAAAAAGAAUAUUGAUGGUUUUAAUGAUUGCAUCUAGGGAAGAUCUGGUGUAGUAGAUGUUUUCUUAUGUCAUUGUGUAUAAAUCAGGUUAUGGAUUCUGUUUCUUUUUCAUGCAUUUGGUGUAGUAGAUGUUCUCUUAUGUCCCUGGUAGGCUAUCUUCUUAGACUGUUUGUAUCAUUUAUUGGACCUUGCUGCAUGUUAUCGUUGAUAUAGUGUUGAUUUUUGAUUUGUUGAUGAAGUUCUGGUUAUCUCAGGACAGAUAAGUCACCUUCAUUGUACCGAUGAAAGAAGAUGGGAUCUGUCUUCAUUCAGUGUCAGUUUUAUCAGGUUUUAUGUAUCAUGUAACGUUCCUUUUCUUGUGUUCUCUCUGUUUGUACGAGAAGACUUUAUAUCAAUACAGUUCAGUCUUGAGGCUUUGAUCUUAAUAAAUACUGCAGUAGAUUUAACACUGUUUUUAAAUUACAUCUUAUCAAAUUCUAUGCUGUCUUGGUUGCUUGUUAUUCCUCAGGUUAGAUUCUCAAGUAUCCAUUGCUUCUCGUGCGCUUAAAAAGGAAGGAUAUUGCACUUUAGUUGUAGUUAUUUUCUAGACAUCAGUCACCUUAGACAUGUGUGUGAUAAUUUCUCUCUAUAGAUGAUAUGGUUUUCAGCCUGUUUGUUUUGCCUUUGGUUGGAUCUUUGUCUGUACCAUGCAAUUUGAUAUCUAAAGAUUUUUGAUUUGCAAACAAAACUAAUAACAGGAAAUACCUCCAGCCCCAUUCCAAUCACGCCUUCUUUCUUAUGUCUUUUAUUUUUAUGCCUUUUUUUAUAAAUUUUACUGUUUGUGUUGAAAUCCUUAGAAAUAAAAUCUGGAUGUUUCAGCCAAAUCUUAUUAUAACUACUAGGUCAUGUAGAAAUAGCCUUAAUUGACGCACAGUUGGUUCAGUGACUCAAUAAUGUACAUGGCCUAAGAUUCUUGCACAAAGAGUUGUCACUUAGGGUAAAAUGUGGACACUGAAAUUAGUUUAUCCUGUUCGAUCACUUUCAAACUGAAAAGUGAGAAAGUUUUGGCUAGUCAAAUAGGCAAUUAAUUUCCGUCUGUUCAAUAAUUUAAAUCUGUUGCUGGAUGGUUUAUGGAUAUUUUAAAUUACCUCUACCUUUUACUAUAAGUCAUAUUAACUUUGCAUUAUGUGAUUUUAAGUUCAUGGAUCAGUAGCUGAAUUCCCUUUCUUCAGAUAUAUUUCAAACAAUUCAGUUGUUCAUCUGGCAAUUCAUUAUGUGUACAAUGUUGCAUGUGAAUCAAUAUCAAGUGUGCUUGAAAACUAUGCUUUUUAUUUAUACUUUUUGGAUGAUAUUCCUUCUGAUGGAUAUGUAGGACAGUCCACUAGCACUUGCGCAAGCAUAUGAGACACGGGACAAACUCAUGGCAGCUCAUUCUGAGCUAGCUGAUGAUGGAGCUAUCAAGAUAAUAAUUAUUAAGACUACAGGUGACAAAAUACUCAGUCAACCACUAGCAGAUAUAGGUGGCAAAGGUCUUUUCACGAAAGAGAUAGAUGAGGCCCUCUUGGAGGGCAAAAUUGACAUUGCAGUUCACUCGAUGAAGGAUGUUCCUACAUAUUUUCCCGAUGGAAUGAUCUUACCAUGCAACCUUCCCAGAGAAGAUGUAAGGGAUGCAUUUAUUUGUUUGACUGCAAAUUCUCUUUCAGAGCUUCCAGCUGGAAGCAUUGUUGGAAGUGCUUCCCUUAGGAGACAGUCUCAAAUACUCUAUAGAUAUCCAUCACUCAAAGUAAGUUCUUAAAUGAUGUCAUGAGUUUUACUUUUCAUUUUCUAGGAAUAACCUGAUAUGGAAAUAGUGACUUCAUUCUAUCUAGCCAUAUAGCACAGGCUUAACUGCUUAAUGGGUGAUUUGCUCCAUGCAAUUUCCCCAACCUUCCUAUUGUGUGAAUUUUUUUCCUCUACUGGUUUAUUAAAUGGACCCAACUUGGCUAUUUGAGAAGUUAAAUUUAAUUUCCCUCUUCUCUUUAGUUUGCCACUUUAAGGAUUUAUUAAGAUGCUGAGUUCCCUUGGAUAGUUUCAUUCAGCGCUUUGAUGCUCAUGGUUAUGAUCUUGACAGUAACAUUGCUCUCCCUCCAGUUAUCAUUGAAUAUAGAAUCCCAAAGUUGUAUGUGACUGAAAUACUGUUUUGAGAGCUAACUUGUUCUUCUUUGUGGAGUUUAAAUAUGUAAUUAAUUAAAUUUAGCACAUUCGCAAGAAGCUUCCAUGCGAAGCAAAACUCUUGUUAUUCAAUAUAUGAUGAUUGAUAUUUUUUAACUCUUGGUUCAAGGUGGUGAAUGAAUUGCACUUGUACAUGUCUAAACAAGUUCAAAACCAUCUUGAAAGUCUUGAAAGCUAUUAUUACUUGACAAUUUUUGUCAUAUGAAAUGUGAAAUUCAAAUUCAUGGAAUAUCCUUAGGUCCCUAGUGAUAGUUUGCUACCUCUUUUCUUUUCUCUUCUUUCUUCUGUCUUUGUCUUCUGUUCUCGUGAAAUCUGAAAGCUAUUGGAUCAACCAAGGGCAUAUAAGAUGAGCAUUGAACACAAAGAAUGAUGAGGUAAUCAAGGAGUUACAAAGGAAUGCUGGGAGAUGGCAUUGGUUGCACCAGAUAACGAUUAACACAACUGCAUAAGUUAUUAAGGGCAUGUGAAAGAAGAUGGUGUUGAAAUGUGUAGGAAAGAGACCUUAGAAGGAUCAAAGAAGAUUUGCUAAACAAUAUGGGAAGCCACCGUAAAGGAUUCAAACAGUCUGGAUUGAUUGAGAAUGUAGGAUAGGAUGGGAAAGAAUUGCAAAGAGGGAUUGACAUAGUGAACCCUGACCAAUUUCUAUAAGACCUGUUGGUCUGCAUAGUUGUACUAAAGCUUAUAACAGAUUAUGUGGAACUAGCAAGCAAGGUAGGUUGCAUGUCUUGAGAUGUGAUAAUACACUGACUGCUUCGCAUAUAACUGAUAGACAUUUCUUUCUCAAUCAAUUCAUCUGCAUCAACCUUCGAUAUGAUGGAUACUAUUGCAAGAACAACAUUUGGGCCAUUGACCUUGUUAGUUCAACAUUAUUUGCUAGAGGCCUAUCAAUACUGUCAAAAUCAGCAUCGGAAAACCUUUUCAACAGCACAACAUAGACUUAGAUCCAACUGCUUAGCUUUAGAUAUCUGGUCGGUGGAAGCUAUAGAAAAUAAAAGAGGGGAGAAAGAAGAGGAAAAAUUCAGCUUGUUGUAUGAAAUUCUGCAAUUUUGUUCAUUAAGACAUGUAUGUUUCUCUUUAAGUGUAAUGUUACUUGUACUGAAAAUGGAUUUAUUUUUGCAUAAUGCAAUCCUAGUUGAGUCUAAAAUUAUCACACAUCAUGUCCAUGCUAGUCAAGACUAGUUAGUAUGCAUGCUGAAAAGAUAUGCAGCAAUGCUGUAAGAUAAACAAUCUACACCACCACAAUGCACUGGUUGAACUGGCUUUCCCCCCUUCCCAUCUAGGUUAUUUUAAAUUAUUCUUGUUGGGCACUAGACGUGUUAUGAAAAAAAAAUGCAUCAUUUAAUCCAACUAAUUUGACACCCCAGGCCAUGCUAGGGAUAUGUGCUACUUGUUGCUAGUUAUCUUAGCUAUAUAAAAUUUUCAUUUAUAAAGAUAGAUCAAAUUGAAUAAUAUGAAGUGUCAUCAUUAUGGAGAAAACAAAAUAAAUGAUUAGAAUAAACUACAGUAUAUUGUAGAGGUUUAAAAUAAAUAGCAAAGACAAUAUUCAAACUAACCCCCUCCCCCCCCCCCCCCACCCAACAAAACAAAAGAAAAAAGAAAAAAAGGUAGGAUAAAUGCAUGCACUAAAAUACUUGCCAAUUUGCAUUUGCAUGUAAUAUUGUGUAUCGCUGUACAUUUUGUUUUUGGUUAGUACAAAUCACAAACAUUGUGUCAUGCCAAUGGUUGUGAUAUGAAUUGCAUAUUACAUCAUGUUUUGAUCUGGAUUAGCCAAUUAAUUCAAUGCAAAACUCCUACAUGGAAGUGUUUCCUUGCGCUUGUAAAUCAGAUUAAAGUUCUUUAGACUUGUCUUCAAGAUGCAUUUCUUUUUGUGGAAGUGCUUCUUGUUAAGAGCAAAACAGUGUGGAAUCAUGUGUAUUAACUCUACCGUGUUUGCAAACAGAACAUGACCAUCCAGGCCAUGCUAGGGAUAUGUGCUACUUGUUGCUAAAUUUUCUUAGAUAUAUAAAAUUUUCAUUUAUAAAGAUAGAACAAAUUGAAUAAUAUGAAGUGUCAUCAUUAUGGAGAAAACAAAAUAAAUGAUUAGAAUAAACUACAGUAUAUUGUAGAGGUUUAGAAUAAAUAGCAAAGACAAUAUUCAAACUAACCCCCCUCCCGCCCCCCAACAAAAACCAAAGGUAGGAUAAAUGCAUGCACUAAAAUACUUGCCAAAUUGCAUUUGCAUGUAAUAUUGUGUAUCGCUGUACAUUUUGUUUUUGGUUAGCACAAAUCACAAACAUUGUGUCUUGCCAAUGGUUGUGAUAUGAAUUGCAUAUUACAUCAUGUUUUGAUCUGCAUUAGCCAAUGAAUUCAAUGCAAAACUCCUAAAUGGAAGUGUUUCCUUGCGCUUGUAAAUCAGAUUAAAGUUCUUUAGACUUGUCUUCAAGAUGCAUUUCUUUUUGUGGAAGUGCUUCUUGUUAAGAGCAAAACAGUUGAAUCAUGUGUAUUAACUCUACCGUGUUUGCAAACAGAACAUGACCAUCCAUCCCCAGCUCCUGCUUUCAAUUAUUUACUUGUUGUGACAUGUUAAAGCUGCUAUGUAACUCCAGUUGGUAAACUAUCUUUUUUGCUGCUUUGGCACGGAAACAUUCAAUGACACUAAUGUUAGUUUAUUAUAUUCUAGUAAUUUGUUGUAAUCAAGAUCCCAUUUUCUUACUUCAUGGAUCUUUUUCAAACUCUUGCUUUGGAAUCCUUUGACACAAAAGUUCCAGAAUACAUUCCGAUAAAAAUGGAAUGACUGCCAAAACACAAGCAGUUCAGACCUUUUCCUUGACAGAUGGAUAUACCAUAUCACCAUCUCCUUUGCUGCUUUUGAUGGCCAUAGUCAUGAUCAAGAGACCAUAUUCUGUCCAGUUGGGCAAGUUUUGCAUAUCCUCAAUCCCUAAAGUGAAAUCUCCCUUCUUUACACCGCCGGAAAAAAAAAGCACGAAAGUGAGAUCCAGAGAUUAAAGAGGUGUUGGAGAAGUGGUGUGAUUGGUCAAUCCAAACUCACAUUAUCCCCUCCCCAGUCUGAUCCGAGGCUGGCUUCCAACCAUCACCAUCUCUUCUUCUCCUCAUUGUCAAUCUUUGGUCUUAGCCCAAAGGAGUAACGGGCGCUUAUCGCCAUGAGGGCCACCGCCUACCAACCUCUCAUCACCGCUCCGGCCAACCUGAGGCACGGGAGGAGGCCGGCGUCCUCUCGAUGGCUCCCCUCGGUAUCCCCCAGGAGGAGGGCCGCGGUCGUCAGAGCGGCCGUCGCCGUGGAGGAGGAGGCUAAGACCAAGGUCUCCCUCGUCAGGAUUGGCACCAGAGGGGUAAUUACAUUUUAUUUUCUUGUGUCAUAAUGUAUUUCAAUUCCUUAGUUGGGUUUUAUUUAUUCUUAACUGGAUCUUGACAUGUGCAAUGAAUGUGCCUAUGGACUGCUAUUUACCAUGGAAACAUGGGAUUUAAGGAGGGGAAGGGUGCAGAUAAAGUGUAUCAUUAACAAUUAUUGUCAGUUAUCUAGUAAAGGAUCCUGACAACCUGAACCAACUGUAGCUUUAACAAUUUUCUGCUCAGCCUAUUCUUAUCAGCUGUAUGUUUUCUCUUGAUCUGGCUAGAAAAGUACACAAAACUUUGGCCAUUGAAAUUUUAUCAUUGUAGUCUUGCUCAAUCCACUAGACUGCAAUCUGAGCAAGCCAAAGG
rnacentral:lncRNA from 1 species